UAGUUAGACUGUGUCUUUUAUUGUUACUCAAUGUUAGUAACGCCCCGUCUUGUAUCACUGUGGGAUAGUGAGAAACGUCAUUUCGAUUCCCUUGUAUGUCUGGACAUGUAAGAGGAAUUGACAAUAAAGCUGAUUGAUUGAUUGAUUGAUUGAAUGAUUGUUCACUUGUGAA